rnacentral:lncRNA from 1 species
CUGGAGGUUUUGACUUUACGGAGACUUCAUGUUCAUCUAUUUUGUCAACUGCACCUGAGGAUCAACCAACACUUAGCGACUGCCUUGAAUGGUCCCAUGUUGUCAGACAUUAGGUAUGUGCACACUCUCUAAUGUAGACAUGAUCUAUUUAUGACUUAUCAUUAUGCAGACGUAUUGUCGCAAAAAGCAUGGGAUUAGCAUACAUAACUUUGAGAGGAGUAUCCAGUGACUUUGGUGUUGUAACAUCCAAAUACACUCCUGUUAUACAACUGUUCUGAAAUAAGGGCAGUUUUGUGCACCACCAGCGAAUAAAAUGGAGAGGUGAAGAUGCUCUAUAACCAGAUGAUUAUAACAAAUUAGAAUAUUGUCUAAGCUGUUUGGAUAUCUUUUUACCUUGUUUUUGCAUUGAGCACUAAUGAAUAUAGUGUGUGAUAUAUGCUUAUACAAGAUCAUGCUAACUAAUGUAAUGUUCAUUUAAACAUUAGUCUUCUUAACCCUGAAAAUUAUAAAAUAUCUCAUUAGCCAUACCUGCCAUUCAUAUAAUCAUAUCCUUUUUAGUUACAUGUGUUAACUUUCCACUUUGAGAUAGAGAGCAUUGUAAGGAAAAUGGACCCCGGGUCUUUUGGCUAAAGAAGUUUUGGUGGUUGAUGACUGACACAAUCUGUGGACUAAUAUGUUUGCUAGUGUUUAUAAUUAUAGUUCACAGGAUGCGGUGAGGAUUGGACCAAGGCAAUGAGGAUGCAACACCUCAAAUGAAGACAUAAAAAGAUGCAUAGAAGUCCAAGACUCAAGAACAAAAGAAGCCCAUAGAAAUCAGCAAAGAAACCUGAGAAGAGGGCUGUCAGCCAGCGCCUGGUGGCGCACCGGACAGUGCACAGUACCUGUCCGGUGUGCACCGGACUGUCCGGUGGGACAACCGGACGGUCUGCGCAGAGAGGCCGCAGGCAGGCGCUCUCGGGCUGUAGCACCGGACUGUCCGGUGUGCACCGGACUGUCCGGUGUGCCAACGGGCAGACGGCAACGGUCGAAUCCAACGGUCGGAUCCAACGGUCGACUGCUACAGACGCCAACGGUCGGCUGACAUAGGCGCACCGGACAUCUACUGUUCAGUGUCCGGUGGUGCACCGGACUGUCCGGUGCACCCGACGACAGAAAGCUGCUGCUUUCUGUCCAACGGCUAGUUGAGGGUGUGGAGGCUAUAAAUAACACCCCAACCGGCCAUUCUCAAGUGUGAGAGCCCAAGCAACAUUCCAAUACACAUAGUGCAUAUUUCCAAGUGCUCAAACACCCAAGUGCUUAAUAGAAUCACUCGGUGAUUAGCGUAGGUGCUUUGCGAAGUGCUUAGGUUAGUUAGACCGCUUUAGCGCUUGCUCUAGGUGAAUCCUAGUUAGUUGAGUGAGUUUAGAUAAACCUCACAACCCCUCGGCUCUUGCGCGAGCCGUUGUAAUUGUACCGAGUGGGGCGAGAGUCUUGCGAGACCGUGACAACCGUGUUUGUGUCACGGCCGCCACCGUGUACCGGAGGGAACGAGGCCCGCGGCGUUUCGGCCGGAAGCUCGAUAGUGGAGACGGCGGGGAGCGUCCGAGAGGAGCCGGAAGCGGAGCACCACUUGCGCGUGGAGAAGGCCCGCGGCUCUCUACGGAGUUACUCGACCGAGGUGCUUGGCCCUCGCGUGGGCUUCCCUUUGCGUAGGGGCACCAACGAGGAUUAGUCGGGACCUUGCGCGGUUCCGGAUACCUCGGUAAAAAUACCGGCGUCAUCCACGAGAGUUUGCUUCUCUACUUAGCUCUUUACAUUCCGCAUUUAUAUUAAGCAUUUAAGUUUCAAUCUUGUUGUCAUACUUAUUUAGUGUAGAUUGAAACUUAGUCUUUGCGGUAGAGAUAGCAACACUUAGACCAAACCUAGUUUGCACAUUCUAGUUUUGAUUCUUGCAUAGGUUUUGCUCUAGGGAUUUAAUUGUGGCCAAGUUUAGUAAAAGUUUUAGAAGUCCUAAUUCACCCCCCCCUCUUAGGCGUCACCCGUUUUCUACAAUUGGUAUCAAAGCCCGGUUUGGCUCAUUUGAAACGUUUUAGCUUCACCGCUAAAAGGGCCGACGCUUUUUAGAGGAAGGGAUGGAUACCCAUAGGCCACCACACUUCGACGGCACUAACUUCCCAUAUUAUAGUGCUAGAAUGGCUUGUUACCUAGAGGCCGUUGAUCUAGGUGUUUGGAGAGUCACUUGUGACGGGAUGAAACCCCUCAAGAAUCCCGAGAAACCCACCACGAGUGAGGAAAAAGAAAUUCAUUUAAAUGCUAGAGCCAAAAAUUGCUUGUAUGAAUCUCUUAGCAUGGAUAUUUUCAAUCAAGUAUUUACCCUGAAAACUGCUAAUGAGAUUUGGCUAAAAUUGCAUGAGCUCCAUGACGGCACAUCCAAUGUCCGUGAGCAAAAACAUUGCCUAGUCUUAAAUGAGUAUAAUUCUUUUGCUAUGAAAAAUGAUGAGCUUGUUAGAGACAUGUAUUCUCGCUUGAAUCUAAUUAUCAAUGAGCUCAAUUCUAUUGGCAUUAAUAAGCUAGGUGAUGCGGACAUUGUGAGGAAGAUUAUCUCCCUGCUACCACAACAAAGAUAUGGGAGCAUCAUCACCAUCCUUCACAACAUGGAGGACUUGAGCAACAUGACCCCGACCAUUGUGAUUGGGAAAAUCGCGGCCUUUGAGAUGUCGCGAAAAAUGAGUCGGGGAGAGGAGCCAACUUCCUCAAGACCAUAUGCUUUUGCAUGUGAUGAAAGGAAGGGCAAAAAGAAGGCUCCCACUCCAAGUUCCUCAAGUGAAGAAGAGGAAGAAGAAGAAAGUGAUGAUGAUGAAGAUAAUCAACCAUGCACAUCAUCCUCCGAGGACGAAGAAACGAUCCGACGCGUCGGAAAGGUAAUGGGGAUGAUCCGCAAGAUUAAUCUAAUGGGUGUGCCCCUGCAGGUCGAGGAUCUUCUCUUUAACAUUGACAGGAAAAAGCAAAGGAAGAGAGGAUGCUUCGCAUGUGGGGAGAAGGGCCACUUCAGGGACAACUGUCCAAAUAUGGCCAAACCCAACAAGGAGAGGAGCAAAGGCAAGGCGCUAACAAGUGUUAGAACGUGGGAUGAUUCUUCAAGUGAAGAUGAACCUCCAAGGACGCGCAGCCACCGGUCCUCGUCACGAUCAUCACGGUCAUCACACAAAUGCCUUAUGGCAAGAGGUAACAAAAGCACUCCAUCCUCUAGUGAUGAAAGUAGUAGUGAUGAUGAAGGUGAGGGAAAAGCCUCUCUAGAUGAGCUUGCGGAAGCCGUAGAAUUUUUCCAGGAUGUUUGCACUAAGCAAAAAGCUCAACUUAAAACUUUGAAAAAUAAGUUGGUUAGCUCUCAAAAUGAUUACAAAGGUUUGCUAGAAAAAUUUGAAACUUUUGCAAACUUAAAUAGUGAGCUAUCAACUAAACUUGAGCUAUUAGAAUCUAGUGCUCCAUCCACUGCUACCGAUGAUAGCCUUAUUAAAAAGAAUGAAAAACUUAAGGCUAAGUUAGCUAGCUCCCAAGAAGCUAUUGAAAAUUUGCUAGAGAAAAUGGAAAUUCUCAGCAUACACAAUAAUGAGCUAACUACUAAGCUAGAAAACAUUGGUAGCACCCCAGCAGCAUCUUUAGUUGAAAUUCCUGAAAUUAUUAAGAAAGAUGCUUCUACUUCCUGCUUUGACUUAAUUGAUGAUUCUAACCCCUGCAACCAAGUUGUUGUUGAGAAUAUUGUUGUAGAGACAUGCUCUGAUGAGGUUGCAAAGGAAAAUGAACAAUUAAAGCAAGAAGUGACUCGUCUUGGCAAGGCUUUGUAUGACAAGAAAGGCAAAGCCAAACAAAUCCGACCUCCACAGGAUAACACCACUGCGGGAGUGAACAAGCCUGUAGAGGGAGAAACUGUGAUUUGUAGGCUAUGCCACAAGGAAGGCCACAAGUCUUUCCAAUGCAAGGCGAUGACCGGAGAUAAACAAAGGCAAAAGCUCAAGCAAAAGCCAACAAGCAAAAUCUCCAGCACCUACAUCAAAAAGGUGAACAAAAAGGACGCUACACCAUAUUUGAUCAAGAAGAAAAAGAAUGGAAAGGUGAUAGCAAUCAAGGCCAACAAGCAAGCCAACAAAGGAAAGGGGGCCAAACGCAUCUGGGUGCCAAAAGAGAUAAUUUCAACCAUGAAAAGCACCAAGAAGGUUUGGAUCCCGAAAGGGAAGUGAGUGGACCAAAAGUCUGCGGGAAAUUUGGAGACUUGGCAAAGUUGGGAUGUAUAUCAUGGGGUACAUCAUAUUGGAUCAAGUUUAUUGCCAAGUGGGUUAGUGAAAACUUUGGACCCAAAUUUCCCACCCAUGACCAAGGUAACUAGUUUUAUUGUAUUUCUCGUUUUUAGAUAUGUGUAUCUAUUUAUCUUUUAUCUAGUUUACCUUUCUUGCCUAGUAUUACAUUUGUUAUGUACUUUUGUUUAAAAUCAUGCAUACUAGGUAAAUCAUAUGGUAGGAUUGCUUGCGUUUAAUUCAUAUACUUAAGCAAACCUACAUGGCUUAAAAUGUGUAUUUAAGCACGGCACAUAGCUUUUAUAUCACUCCAUAGUAAAUGAUGCAUCAAUUGAAAAUCUUUGAUUUCCACAAGUGUAUCAUUUAACUUAUAUGUGCCAAAGUUUGGAUUAUAGAUAAUUUGCCCCUCUUGAUAUCAAAUCAAAGUGCAUGUCUCCUACAAGUAUUCAAAACUUGUAUGCACACCUUUAGGGGGAGGUUACUCUAUAAUCUAACACUUUGAGACUAACACCUUUUCAAGUCUAUUUCAUGUGAUAGUCUCAUUGUAAGGAAAAUGAAGUCCCUGGAGAAAGACAACAAUCUUCCACUGCAAAAUCUCUAAGAACUCUCAUGUCUCUCAAACUCGCCAUUGAUCAUCAAUUGGUAUCUUUUGAGACUACAUUCAGUAUCAUUUACAUGUCUUCUCCAAUAUUUGAUUAGACUAUAUUUCAUAUCAUAUGCUUCCAUGUUGCAAAAAUGCAUAAGUAGUUAAUUCAUAUUCUGUUACCUAUGCAUAAGGGAAGCUAGUCUUUUCAAAUCAUGUCUUGCACCUCUAAUUUUCACAUGCUUUUUCCUAAGUAGAGGAUCUCUGUCAGGGGGAGUAUUUCUUCAUCUCUAAAGGGGGAGAAAAACUCUUUCUAAAGGAGUCAACUCAUUUAGGGGGAGUAAUCUUUUGAGGACUCCUUCAAGUGGUAUCAUUCACUUAGUUUAAUUUUAAUAUCCUUCUAGUGAUAUCAUUUGAUACAAUUCUUGAUGAGGGCAAGCUUUUAUUUACUUCCUACAUGCUUUUAAUGUCUUCCUUUUCGGUGGUUGAUGCCAAAGGGGGAGAAGUUUAGGGACCAAAGCAAUGAAAACUUUAUCAAACACCAAAAACCACCACUUUAAAAUUUUAUCUGCAAAUGACUUUUCAAGUGGUUUUGGUUAUUUGGUCCAAAAAUAGGAAGUAAGUGAUUUAUGGAGUUAGGGGGAGGCUUAAGUCCAUAAUAUCACAUUAAGGGGACAAUCAUGCAUCUUAGCAAGUGAAAUGCAUAUUUACAUUCAAAUACUUGUAUUAUUUGCUUGCUUUGGUUGUGUUGUCAUCAAUCACCAAAAAGGGGGAGAUUGUAAGGAAAAUGGACCCCGGGUCUUUUGGCUAAAGAAGUUUUGGUGGUUGAUGACUGACACAAUCUGUGGACUAAUAUGUUUGCUAGUGUUUAUAAUUAUAGUUCACAGGAUGCGGUGAGGAUUGGACCAAGGCAAUGAGGAUGCAACACCUCAAAUGAAGACAUAAAAAGAUGCAUAGAAGUCCAAGACUCAAGAACAAAAGAAGCCCAUAGAAAUCAGCAAAGAAACCUGAGAAGAGGGCUGUCAGCCAGCGCCUGGUGGCGCACCGGACAGUGCACAGUACCUGUCCGGUGUGCACCGGACUGUCCGGUGCGACAACCGGACGGUCUGCGCAGAGAGGCCGCAGGCAGGCGCUCUCGGGCUGUAGCACCGGACUGUCCGGUGUGCACCGGACUGUCCGGUGUGCCAACGGGCAGACGGCAACGGUCGAAUCCAACGGUCGGAUCCAACGGUCGACUGCUACAGACGCCAACGGUCGGCUGACAUAGGCGCACCGGACAUCUACUGUUCAGUGUCCGGUGGUGCACCGGACUGUCCGGUGCACCCGACGACAGAAAGCUGCUGCUUUCUGUCCAACGGCUAGUUGAGGGUGUGGAGGCUAUAAAUAACACCCCAACCGGCCAUUCUCAAGUGUGAGAGCCCAAGCAACAUUCCAAUACACAUAGUGCAUAUUUCCAAGUGCUCAAACACCCAAGUGCUUAAUAGAAUCACUCGGUGAUUAGCGUAGGUGCUUUGCGAAGUGCUUAGGUUAGUUAGACCGCUUUAGCGCUUGCUCUAGGUGAAUCCUAGUUAGUUGAGUGAGUUUAGAUAAACCUCACAACCCCUCGGCUCUUGCGCGAGCCGUUGUAAUUGUACCGAGUGGGGCGAGAGUCUUGCGAGACCGUGACAACCGUGUUUGUGUCACGGCCGCCACCGUGUACCGGAGGGAACGAGGCCCGCGGCGUUUCGGCCGGAAGCUCGAUAGUGGAGACGGCGGGGAGCGUCCGAGAGGAGCCGGAAGCGGAGCACCACUUGCGCGUGGAGAAGGCCCGCGGCUCUCUACGGAGUUACUCGACCGAGGUGCUUGGCCCUCGCGUGGGCUUCCCUUUGCGUAGGGGCACCAACGAGGAUUAGUCGGGACCUUGCGCGGUUCCGGAUACCUCGGUAAAAAUACCGGCGUCAUCCACGAGAGUUUGCUUCUCUACUUAGCUCUUUACAUUCCGCAUUUAUAUUAAGCAUUUAAGUUUCAAUCUUGUUGUCAUACUUAUUUAGUGUAGAUUGAAACUUAGUCUUUGCGGUAGAGAUAGCAACACUUAGACCAAACCUAGUUUGCACAUUCUAGUUUUGAUUCUUGCAUAGGUUUUGCUCUAGGGAUUUAAUUAUGGCCAAGUUUAGUAAAAGUUUUAGAAGUCCUAAUUCACCCCCCCCUCUUAGGCGUCACCCGUUUUCUACAAGCAUGACUGUCUACUAUAUUUUGUUGCCUCAAUCAAAUAGAUAAGAAGCUUUGUGCAUAUGGUAGACCAAUAGCGCUCAUUACUUGUUUCUUUCUUAGAUAAUUCUUAUGAACAUUGGAUUAUCUCAACUAGCUUCUGUGCACUAUUUGUCCCGCAUUUUCCCCUUGUCUUGCUUUUCUGAACUUACGUGUCUGCUCUGUCUUUUUAUUAUCACAAAACCGAAAGAGCUUGAAAACUAUAUAUUGUAUAUUGUAAGAGAGAAUAAAUAUUGGGACAAUUUUUUUGAUGUUCUAACUUUUAAUAACAUUGCAUAUGGGAAAACAAAUUUUCUACUGCAACAGCAUAUAAAGCGUGCAAUACUGUACUGGGUCUAGGCAAGAUAUGGCGGGGAUGUUCAGUUGUCCACAGAUGCCAUACUUGUUACCGUAGCAUUACCUUUUUAUAGUUUCAGUUUCAGGUUGCUCAUAUAGUUUGCUUAUGCUUGAGUUAUUCACAUUGUUCCUUACUUGGAUUCAUUCGCUGGAUUCAUCAUUUCUACAUAUGUUUAUUUAAGUUUUCUUUGUUACACUCAACAUGAACAAUGCCUCAUGUUCUUGUAGCCAUUGUGAUUCAUGUUAUCCUCACACUGCACUGCUAACCAUUUAAGUAUUUUUUGUGCAUCGAUAGUUUUACCUUUAUACCAGCAUAGAAGAGAGAUAAUUUGGGCAGUGUAACACCACCGAAUGUUUGUUUUGUAUUAAGAUUAACACCUCAGGCAUGCCAUCAUCCUACUUUGACCUCAUACCAAACACAUCCAUAAUCUUUUAGUAUUGACAACAUAAUAAGGCCACAUGACUGAGAAAGAUUGAAGUUAAGCUCUGCAACCAUUGUUUAUCCAUUUACUGCAUCAAAAUAAUGGAAAUAUUUAUUAAAAGGGAAGUAUGUCCAAACAAUUUCACAAGAGACUAAAUUAUGGGCAUAUUUGGGAUUUAGGAGGUGUUAUGCUGACCUUGGGUAAGAAUCAUUAGUGGUUCACUUGUUCUUGAGCUUUAUCAUUUGUACUCCGUUCUGUUUAUAAUAUAUGGGACCCACAUGAAAAAUUCAGAUUAUCGAUCAAACACUACUUAUCUCAAUUGUGAAAUUUAUUAGGAGAUCUAUAAUAACGGUGGGAGAUCUAUAAUAUUAUAGCGUUGUCCAUGGAAGGAGAAUCAGAAGCCCCGGAUCGCCGCCCCAGCCUCCAUGGAAGGGGAGUCCUCUUGAUCCGUGUCUGCGCUGUCCAGGAAAGGGGAGCGUCUGACGCCCUGGAUUUGCGCACCCCAGCCUCCAUGGAAGGGGAGUAUCUGACGCCCCGGAUCUGUGCGCCCCAGCUUCCAUGGAAGGGGAGUCAGACGCCCCGGAUCUGCGGCGAGAGAGGACCGUGCGAAGGGGAGUCAGACGCCCCGGGCUUGUAACAUUGAGCGGCGCAUUCUACAUAGAAAUCAGGUCUGGCUUGCUCUUGCAUGUCAUUCAUUUCUUAGCGUUGGCUUGUAACUUGUGUUUGUUUUGCUUAGUCCAUUUCUUUUGGUUGUCUGUAGGGAAGAGACGACGACAACAUAGACAUUAUCACAAAGCGGUUUCAGGUUUUUCAGGAGUCGACUCUACCUGUUGUUUAGUACUAUGACAAAAUGGGGAGGCUCUGAAGAAUAAUAAUUUGCGGUUGCUCUUAUUUUUUUCGUAUGAAACGUAGACUGUGCUAAUAAAUUUUGGCUGCACUUCUGUUUAGGAAGUAGAAACAUUAAAUGUUUUAGGAAUAAUAAAUAUUUGCUUAAAUUCAUUUUUAUAACCUUCGUGCUACUGAGUUUCUUUCCCUAUAUCCUCCCCUAACUUGUGUUACUAUGUUCUUUAGGAUUCAAUGCUGCAGUUGUUGGGUGCUUUUUUUGCUAUCGAAACAGUAUUACGGCCACUUACUACUACUAUGAUUAUAUUAGCAUCAGUUAUGAAAUGUUUUGCUGCUGCUAUGAUUAUAUUAGCAUCAGUUAUGAAAUGUUUUGCUGCUGCUAUGAUUAUAUUAGCAUCAUUUAUAUCAUCAACUAUUUCCAAUGUUUUGCUAGGGGAAAAUGCAACAUUUAUUAUGUCUACAUAUGAACUAAAAUAUGCUGCUGGUAUUUUACCUUAUUCUGAUUAUUUUUUGUGUCAAUAAGGUAGAUGUGUCUUAGCUACCUUCAAGAUAUAGGGAAGUAUGUGUUCUCACCUUAUUUUUUGCUCUAAUUGUUAAACAUAUAUGAAGUAUGUUCUCAUGAUAAAACAUAAAGCUUGACACUGAAUAUUUCUUUUUUUCUUGUAAUUCUCUUCCUUAAGCUUAGCCCUCUUUCAAUUCCUUGAAAUGGUACUUGCCUACAUUCCUCUCACAUGAAUUUACGAUCCUAAGAACUAAUCAACUACUAGAGUUAUUAAUGCAGAAAUGAUCAACUAAUGUUAGCUUAAUGAUUUCUACAGUUGCUGCAUUUCAGGAUUUGAUGAAUAAUUGGUAAAAUGAGCAACCAAGCUGGAAAGGUUUAACUGAUCUCUGCUACUCUUUUAUCAGGUGAUUUCUCUUAGCCAAUGAAUACAUAAGAGAUACACACCGAUGUGUGCCCUGUAAGUAGUUUUCUUGACCAAGUUUCUUCCGUUGCUUAUCUUUUCUCUUACGGUUGCACUCGUAUUUUUAUUGUAUCUUCAGGCCCUCGGUAUAUAACAACUAGAGCGAAUAAUUAGUAUGUACGGGGAUGAUGUGAAUGGUACAAACACUAUUUUAGCAGAGGUAAGUUGGUCAGUUCCCCUAAUAUAGUUUACGAUCUUGUACCACAUUUGGUUUGUGUUCUUUUCCAAAAUGGCAUCAACUGACAACUUACCUUUUCAUAGUUUACAUCAAUCUUGAAAUAUGCGGUACUUGAUGAAUCAAAUAUGACCAUGUGUUUCUCUAUACCGCUAGAUGCUGAUUCCAGGUUUGUUAUCUGUGAAAAAUGUUAUCCACAUUAUUUUAAAAAACUAUUACUACUGAUAUUUAAUGGUUUCCCUUAUUCAUUCCUAAAUGCAGUAUACCCUUUUCACUUGAGGAUAUUACAAAGACAUUGCCUGACCUCUUCCUCGUAUCAUGUGUUUACAGACGCCUGACUCUCCUGUUGUUGAGCUAGACCAGACCCGUCUCUUGUAGGUCUUGUUGGUGCUGAGGAUCCUCUAAAACAACAUGUCAUCGUCUCGGUUCGAGCCUGUGGUAAGAUAAGGAGCGCUGGUAGCAUGAUAGCUCUCCAUUCUCUGAAGCUAAAGCUUCAUUUUAGCUCACUGUGUAUUUGCUCUGCUUUCAAGAGAAGGUUGUUGUCAACGUAUGAUCUGACAAGAGCUUUAUCUGGCCAAUUGGUUGAGCGUGAUACUUUGAGACAACCUGGCAAGUGAGCCGCAGCUAACACACAUGGAUGGACAUUUUAGUCAAGUGUAUCAUAAAAUUUAUUAUAUAUUGUGUAGAACUUAAUUGUUUAUGGUGAUGUUUUACACUACUGCCACACUAAUAGUACUGUCCUUGAUUCUUUAAAUUCUUUGACCAAAGCAUGUACAAGCCGCUGCUACUAUCUUAUUUCUCAAAGAUAUAAUAUAAGUAUGAAUACCCUUGGAAGUUAAGUUUUGUAAAUGGUUGUCUUUGUAGGGUCAUGUUUUUACUAUAGUCGUGCUAUACUUGCCUCUGAAGGUGGAGAAAAAUUGCAAUCAUGUACUGUGAAAUAUCAACUAUGUAUAUUAUUUAUCAUAUUUGUUUGAGAUUAUUAAUGUCAUGCUUAGUGUUCGUGCCAAUAGAUAAGUUUGUAGUUGAUGAUAAUAUGUAUUGUUUAUUUUUAUGUAAUCGUUAUAUACUAACUUUGUAUCGAAUAAUUUAUAUGCCGUCGCAACGCACGGGCAUAUACCUAGUAGCCAAUUAUGUGCAUCAAUGACACAAGCAGCUACUAACUGGCCUCUAAACCUCCCAUAAAGAGUUGUUGCAUCCACUGCUAAAUAAGGCCUGCAACCAGCUAAGAACCUACUCCAACAUGCUUUGAAUGAAACGAACACCCUUAUAAAACAUUCUUUGUUCAAAAUCUUGCCUCUCACUUUAUAAUCCACCGUAUGAUGGUCAAUCUCAACAACACUACCUGGGCACGCCUUCUCCACUUCAGCUUUGAAAGUGAAUAAUAAGUUAAAGCUUUCCUUACAUGGGCCAUAAAUCUUGUCAAGAGCCAUUUCCUUGCCAUAAUACACUAUCAUGUAAGGCACCAAAAUGUUGUACUUCUCUUUGAUCUUCUUUACCGGUUCAGUUGUACCAAUGCAUGAGUUAUAUGUCGCCCAUUCUAAUACUGCAUUUGCACACCAUCUACUUUUAGCUACUUAUGUGACCCUUUUCUUUCACUUGGACAAGUGCGAGGAGAUGGAUUCACUUUGACCUGAAUAAUUGUACUAUUCCGCAUACUGGAAGCAUAUAUCCUCCACUGACAGCUCUCAAAUGCGCAAUGAACAGUCAUUCUAGUUGGCUCACUCUUGUCAAUUACAUAAUCAUACUCGCCUUUGAUGCAAUAGGUAUCAAGUGCAUUCCUAAAUUCGGUCAUCGAUGCAAAUGUGUUGCCUUCUUUUAAGGAUGGAUUAUCUCUGUCAUAAUCAUUUCUUGGUACAUCACCACCCUCUCCUUGCUCAUCCACCCCCAUAGCUAUGUUUUCUUCCUCCUCCUCUUUAUCAGUCUCUUUAAAUUGUGCCCCUGUGAAAAUGUCUCCAUUAUAGUCCUCAAAUUCUAGCAUAUCCCACUUGUCAACAAACCCAGGAUACUGUCUCUCAUCAUCAUCGGGGGCAGCAACUACUUCUAUUGGUUCAACCUCAUCAUUGGGAAUAAUACGAUUCAUCCCAUUUCAUAGGAAAUAACGACGUUAAGAACCCAUAUAGGCAAAGGGUGGCAACAUUUAUAGAUAGUAGAGGGUUGUGCUCCUUGCCUGGAGGAGACUGCUGCUGCUGUCAAGAAGAUCGCGUCGGUGUCUGGAUCUCACACACUACUGUUAAGAAGAUCACGUCGACGACUGGAUCUCACAUAGGAGCAGCAGGCCGAAAGCUUGCAGUGCCUCUGGAUCUGGAGUGCGAGUAGGGGCGCAGACCCGCUGAAGGCAUCGAGAGCACGAGGCACGGACCAACCGGAGGCACGGAGCAACGAGUCCCUCCCAGUGGCGGCUUCCUCCCUCCCGGCGGGGCGCCCCCACGAAGUAGCCUAUGGCUAGAGGCACGGAGCGUGGGACGCGUACCAACUGGAGGCACGGAGCAGUAGGUCCCGGCGACGUCUUCCUCCCUCCUGGCGGCUCUAGGCAUCAAACCAAAGACAUCAUCAGCACCUGGGCGUCUGGCAUACAAAGGCAGCUGUGUUGUUGUCAGAUUAAAAACCUGCGCCACGGUCUUCCCUCUCGCCUUGGCUAUCUCCGCGAGGACCUCGAACUCGAGCACAACGUUUCUUUCUGCCGCCCAGCUCUGGCCUCCCAACGGCGAGAUCUGCUGGCAAACAGGGUUCACCUCCACCGGGAUUCGCCCUCCCGGCGGGGCGCCCCCACAAAGCAGCCUGAGCGCUUGUUCCCUCCCGCGGCGGGCGAGGCGGGCGUGGUGAGUGGGCGGCCACGAAGCGACGGGCGGUUGCGGUUGAGAUGGAGUUCGGGAUUGGGAGGAAGAAGAGCCUGCUGUCGAGUGGGGAUUUUUUUGCAGUGGGCCCACUCUGUAAGUCACGUUAAAGUGGACGGAGACGGCGUCCAGGCGUAUUUAUGAGCAAAGGGAACGAGGACCGAAUAAAAUUGCGUAUUUAUG